GUGUCAGCAGCCGCGGUAAUACGUAGGGUGCGAGCGUUAAUCGGAAUUACUGGGCGUAAAGCGUGCGCAGGCGGCGCGUUAAGACAGGUGUGAAAGCCCCGAGCUUAACUUGGGAAUUGCGCUUGUGACUGGCGUGCUGGAGUGUGGCAGAGGGAGGUGGAAUUCCACGUGUAGCAGUGAAAUGCGUAGAGAUGUGGAGGAACACCGAUGGCGAAGGCAGCCUCCUGGGCCAGCACUGACGCUCAUGCACGAAAGCGUGGGGAGCAAACAGGAUUAGAUACCCUGGUAGUCC
rnacentral:rRNA from 1 species